CCGCGCCGCCCUGCCUGCAGCGCCAGCCCCGCCUGCCCGCCGCGCCGCGGCCCAUCUGCACCUUCUGCCUCAGCGACCAGAGGAAGAUGCACAGAGAAGGAGAGAAACACUUGUCUGUUUAACUUGUAAAGUGGAUGUUGAAUCGGAUGAGAAGCUUGCACAAAACCUUGCACUGACUCUAGAACUGUUGUAGGUAAUGUCUCUGCACUGGUACUAUAUGUUUACAUUGAAAUGAUGCAACAGUAAAAGAACGACUUUUUAAAAACUGUCUGAAACACUGCUAUGCACUUUGUCUAUGCUGCGACAGGUUUAUUCAGGGUGUUUUGAAAAUGAAAUUGAACCCUGUGAAGAAAGUUGCACCUGGUGUGGCAGCUAUUUUAGUGCAAGAAAUGUUAAACCUAAGCAGCCAAGCCCUGAUCUUGAUGGCAACUAAACCUGUGUCACAUGAUGAAACUUGAGCCUCGAAACACAGUGUCUCCUGUCAGUGAAAGCUGUCAUAACAUAUCAUCUUCUGUGUUUUCACCAAUAUUGGGCCGAGCACAGCAACGCCACCCACUCUUCCAGCCAUAUACUAAUUUGUAUGCCUGUGAUAAGCGGCAGCUGACACGUUCAGGGUGUUUGAACUACACUAGAAGAUUAUUUUAAAGGUGUUGAUAUAAAAGGAAAUUUGCAGUAGAGAGACACAGAUACUGCAGCUUAGGCACAGCAGACUCUUAACCAGCCAAGGAAACCAGCUAAGAUGAGGAGAGAAAAGCUGAGAAGUGCUGUGUAAGGAUGUUUUUUCUUAAUACACAGUGUACACUAUGCUAGUCUUUUAAAUAGUACAAGAUCUUUCUAAAUCUGUUCUUGAUAAGCAUGGAGUAGGGAGGGUUUCCCAAGGGCUCUCUAAAUUUAUCCAUCAUCUAAGUUGUUCCCAAGUGGUGCCUGUACAUCCCUGAUGCCAUUUAUCACUGAUAGCUUAUUAAUGGAUAAGCUUUAUGUAGAAUUAAGUCUGAAAAGUAAAAGUGCGUGUCAUGUUUCCUAAUUGGAUGUAACCAGCAAAGUAUUGUAAAAUGUUAAACCUUCAUUUUAUAGUUGAAUCAGUUUACAGCAGUUGGUACCUAAAAAGUUAAGAUUAAGUCUGUUUUACUUUAUCUGGUAGGUUUUGAAUUGGGAUACAGGUUAACUUAUGAUCUCAUGUUGGGACUUGCCAACCUUAAAAAAAAAAAAAUAGUAACUUGCACUUUAAGCCAUGAUCUCCUACAGACUUUAUGCUUCAUAGAGUAACUGUCUCCCUUUUGUAGACCUCUUACUAUAGGCAGUUACGGAGCAAAAGACCAAUAGGUAUAACCAGUGGAGAUGUUUACUGCAUAGGUGAGUUCUCUCAAACUACAGCAUCUACCACGCUGCAAUAUACUAAGCAAAUUUUACUAUUUUUCAGAAUACUGUAUUUUCUCACAUAUAACCAUUCCUGAAUAUAACUUGCACCCUGUACCAUGAUUUUAAAAAGAUCCUACCUUGCACAGCUGGAGAGCCAAGUUUGUCCCUGAGUCUGCUGCCAGCCUUGUGUGCUGGAUGUGGCUCAUGGACUGAUCCUGCAUGCUGGGUCUAUGGCUGUGCAUCAGGUCCAAUCUUUCAAGACAGAUCUUGAGGCUGUGCGGUGGGCUCAGUCCACCAAAGCAGGUCUGAAGCUGUGUAAUGGGCACAACCUUACAUGGCACAUCUGACCCUAUGUGGCUGGCCUAGGGCCAUGCAGCCCAAGAGCAUGCCAGGCCUGGGGCCACCUGCUGGCUCCAGAGCUGCUUCUCAGUUCAGAUGCCAUGCGCUGGCUAUGGGGCCGCACAUUGAUUCUAGGACCAUGCACUGGCUCUGGCACCACAUGGUGAGCUGGACCCAGCAUGCAGCCCUGGAGCUAGCCCAUGGUCCUGGGCUUAGCAAACCAGGUUCAACCCAGAGGCAACAUGCAAGCCAGAUCUGGCAUACCAGGGCCCAGGCCAUGGGCCACCGCUUACUGGGUUGUGCCAGUGCACAGAUGGGGAAGGAGACUCCCCACAGGCCCAGAAAUAUGGUGGCAGAAGGGGGAGCACUGACGGUGUAAAUUGUCACAGCCCCCAGAGCUGCGCAAUUAACACUGCUACUAUUCCGCCUCCCCUUGCCAAAUUUAUGGACCAUGGUUUUCCUUGCAGAUAAUGCUGCCUCCCCCUUCCCAAACCAGCAGUGGAAGAUGCAGGUUAUAUGUGAGAAAUUACAGUAAGUGAUCAAAGUAUACAGGAUAUUUUUACUCAAGGAACUAUAAUUGGUACAGAGCACUUUAACAUAUGUUCUUUUGUGCCUACAUGGGCUGUAGGAAAUUUCACCAUUAAGGCUGCAAGCCAGAAAAACAUUUUAAGUGGGUAGCUCCACUGACUUCAGUGAGACUAUCCAUGUGCUUAAAUUUACAUGCGUGUUAAGUCCUUUUGUGCACCGGAACCUAACCUGGGUUUUCCACUUUUAGUAAUUUAUUAUUUUUCUGUUCUGUUGUACUAUUUGAAUUGCUGCCAGAUAAACUCAUCUUUUUAGUGUUGAUCAAAAUGUUCUUGAUAGAACUUUUCAUGUUUAUACGUAGAAAGCCUUUUUUUUUUUUAAUUCUGUAUGCGCGCGCGUGCAGAUUUCUGCAAAAGUGCCAGUUUUGUUUUUCAAACUGUUUUCUAAUGCUUUUGAAACCACCCAUCUAAUUUUCUUAAUUUUCUACAUUUUUUUGUAGUUACAUUAUUGAAAGCAGAUCUUAAUUUACAGGAAGUUCUAAAAUACUCUUGAAAUAUGAUUAAGACUAAUAAAGAAAUUGAACUACUGUAAUAGAAAAUGAAAAGUUUACAUUUAAUUAUGAAACAUUUAUCUGUCAUUAUAAUACUGUAAGUAGUAAAAUGUUUGGAAAAACUCAUUUCAAAUACUAAAUUUUUAGAUAUAUUUUGUAUUAUAAACAUCUAAUUGCUGUGAUUCAUGAAGAAGUUAAAAUAUUUUUUUCGGACUUUCAUAAAGUUGAGUUACAAUCUUUUAAAGAGAUUCUCCUGCAAGUAUAUUUAGAUUUAGUAUAAUUGCAUUUCUAUGUUUGGUUUUCAAAGGAAAUAAACAUCCCAAAGUAAGUCCCGCUGUUUUUCCAAAACCGUAUUAAGUGAAAGAAAGCUCAUUACUUGAAGGAAUUUUCACGAAUGUGCAAUUUACACAGCAAUACACUUUUCUCACAUCCAUUGCUAUUCGUGUGCUAUGUGUUUCCAGUUCAUACGUAGUGGUUGCUUGCAGACAACAAAAAAACCCUCCCCCCCCAAAAAAAACAAAACAAAAAAAAUGCACUUUAAACUGUGUACACCCCUGCCCCAAGCCCAGUACAUGCCCAAAAGAGACACUGCAUUAGUUGGAUCGAGCUCACCCAGCGUCUGUAUACACUGGGCACUUUUUAGCGGGACUUUUUUAGUGGUUCUAUUAGAUAAAAGCGCCAAAAAGCCUUGCUGAAGCUCCUGAUCUAUAUAGAUGCUGCAGAACCAGGUGGAACUAACACACUGCUGCUUCUGGUAAAGUGCAGUUUUUUUGUCCCAUCCCCUCCCGACCCCCAUGUCUGUCAACAGCCAAUUAAAAACCUGGUAGCGCUCCCCAUUUAAUUGAGCUCAAUGUAGCAUUAAGCCCUUCAGUUCUUACACAGGCAGAACUGUUGACUUAAAUAGGACUUUUUCCUGAAUUAGGACCACAGGACUGGGCCCAGUGUUUCAAUCAAAGAUAAUUAUUUAAAUAGUCAUACUAUUUACUGGUCCCAACUGCAGGAGCAUUAAGUACUGUAUACAUACACACAUCAUAGAUGAACACUGUCUGCUCCAAAAAGUUUCUGCUGAUAAUAUUUCAGUAAAACAAACCCCAUGCUUGUUUAUACAUGUGGAUACUUCUGUUGAACUCAAUGGGUCAGAUCCUCAAUUAGAUAAACUGUCCCAUCUCCAUUUAAGUUUGUUGACAAUUUACACCAUCUGAGGAUCUGCCAUGAUGUGCUAAACAGGUGCAGGAUCAGGCAGGUAUUGGCUCUUAUGCCUAUGCCAGAGAUUUAAUUUCUGAAGACCUGGAUGCAUUUAACACUUAGAAUUCACCUGCAAAGAAUGAAAACUAAAAUGCACUAGAUGGUUUAUCAUCCUAGAUUGAUUUAUUUACACCAUUCUAGCUAGAAUGGUAAUCAAACUAUGUGCCUUAUCAAUUCUGUUUUCUAAACUGGUUGAGUGCUACAGCAGUGCUUAUAAGCCAGAAUGUUUUACACUCAAGUGUCUGAUACCAGCACCUAAAUUUGCAUUUAUACACCAAAAUAAGAUAGGCCUUUUCAAAGGAAGCAUUGAUGACCUUGCUUUUCUACAUUAAUAUUUACCUGUUUAAUGUGGUUUGUCUAUAAUUAAUAUACAUGAGCAUGGUGAGAUGCAUACAAGUUCAUCUCAGAUUUUACUACAGUCAUUUAAAGAAGAAAAA